UACCAGCCCCCCAAGUGGUCGGGACGAUUAUUGGGCCUAAAGCAUCCGUAGCCGGUUCUACAAGUCUUCCGUUAAAUCCACCUGCUUAACAGAUGGGCUGCGGAAGAUACUAUAGAGCUAGGAGGCGGGAGAGGCAAGCGGUACUCGAUGGGUAGGGGUAAAAUCCGUUGAUCCAUUGAAGACCACCAGUGGCGAAGGCGGCUUGCCAGAACGCGCUCGACGGUGAGGGAUGAAAGCUGGGGGAGCAAACCGG
rnacentral:rRNA from 1 species